rnacentral:rRNA from 1 species
GACGAACCGUGCAAACGUUGUUCGGAAUCACUGGGCUUAAAGGGCGCGUAGGCGGGUUCCCAAGUCGGUGGUGAAAUCUCCGGGCUCAACCCGGAGGAGUCGGCCGAAACUGGUGUUCUUGAGGGAGGCAGAGGAGUCUGGAAUUCCCGGUGUAGCGGUGAAAUGUGUAGAGAUCGGGAGGAACACCGGUGGCGAAGGCGGGACUCUGGGCCUACCCUGACGCUGAGGCGCGAAGGCGUGGGGAGCAAACGGG